AGUGAACGCUGGCGGUAGGCCUAACACAUGCAAGUCGAACGGCAGCACAGUAAGAGCUUGCUCUUACGGGUGGCGAGUGGCGGACGGGUGAGGAAUACAUCGGAAUCUACUUUUUCGUGGGGGAUAACGUAGGGAAACUUACGCUAAUACCGCAUACGACCUACGGGUGAAAGCAGGGGAUCUUCGGACCUUGCGCGAUUGAAUGAGCCGAUGUCGGAUUAGCUAGUUGGCGGGGUAAAGGCCCACCAAGGCGACGAUCCGUAGCUGGUCUGAGAGAAUGAUCGGCCACACUGGAACUGAGACGCGGUCCAGACUCCUACGGGAGGCAGCAGUGGGGAAUAUUGGACAGUGGGCGCGAGCCUGAUCCAGCCAUACCGCGUGGGUGAAGAAGGCCUUCGGGUUGUAAAGCCCUUUUGUUGGGAAAGAAAAGCAGCAGGUUAAUACCCCGCUGUUCUGACGGUACCCAAAGAAUAAGCACCGGCUAACUUCGUG
rnacentral:rRNA from 1 species